AACGAACGCUGGCGGCAUGCCUAACACAUGCAAGUCGAACGAGAUCUUCGGGUCUAGUGGCGCACGGGUGCGUAACGCGUGGGAAUCUGCCCUUUGGUUCGGAAUAACAGUUGGAAACGACUGCUAAUACCGGAUGAUGACGAAAGUCCAAAGAUUUAUCGCCAGAGGAUGAGCCCGCGUAGGAUUAGCUAGUUGGUGUGGUAAAGGCGCACCAAGGCGACGAUCCUUACCUGGUCUGAGAGGAUGAUCAGCCACACUGGGACUGAGACACGGCCCAGACUCCUACGGGAGGCAGCAGUGGGGAGUAUUGGACAAUGGGCGAAAGCCUGAUCCAGCAAUGCCGCGUGAGUGAUGAAGGCCUUAGGGUUGUAAAGCUCUUUUACCCGGGAUGAUAAUGACAGUACCGGGAGAAUAAGCUCCGGCUAACUCCGUGCCAGCCGCCGCGGUAA
rnacentral:rRNA from 1 species